rnacentral:rRNA from 1 species
GGCGAACGCUGGCGGCGUGCCUAAUACAUGCAAGUUGAGCGCUGAAGGUUGGUACUUGUACCAACUGGAUGAGCAGCGAACGGGUGAGUAACGCGUGGGGAAUCUGCCUUUGAGCGGGGGACAACAUUUGGAAACGAAUGCUAAUACCGCAUAAAAACUUUAAACACAAGUUUUAAGUUUGAAAGAUGCAAUUGCAUCACUCAAAGAUGAUCCCGCGUUGUAUUAGCUAGUUGGUGAGGUAAAGGCUCACCAAGGCGAUGAUACAUAGCCGACCUGAGAGGGUGGUCGGCCACAUUGGGAACGAGACACGGCCCAAAAUCCUACGGGAGGCAGCAGUAGGGAAUCUUCGGCAAUGGACGAAAGUCUGACCGAGCAACGCCGCGUGAGUGAAGAAGGUUUUCGGAUCGUAAAACUCUGUUGGUAGAGAAGAACGUUGGUGAGAGUGGAAAGCUCAUCAAGUGACGGUAACUACCCAGAAAGGGACGGCUAACUACGUG